rnacentral:rRNA from 1 species
AGUGAACGCUGGCGGUAGGCCUAACACAUGCAAGUCGAACGGCAGCACAGUAAGAGCUUGCUCUUACGGGUGGCGAGUGGCGGACGGGUGAGGAAUACAUCGGAAUCUACUUUUUCGUGGGGGAUAACGUAGGGAAACUUACGCUAAUACCGCAUACGACCUACGGGUGAAAGCAGGGGAUCUUCGGACCUUGCGCGAUUGAAUGAGCCGAUGUCGGAUUAGCUAGUUGGCGGGGUAAAGGCCCACCAAGGCGACGAUCCGUAACUGACCUGAGAGGAUGAUCCACCACACUGGAACUGAGAAACGGCCCAGACUCCUACGGGAGGCAGCAGUGGGGAAUAUUGGACAAUGGGGGAAAGCCUGAUCCAGCCAUACCGCGUGGGUGAAGAAGGCGUUCGGGUUGUAAAGCCCUUUUGUUGGGAAAGAAAAGAAGCAGGUUAAUACCCCGCUGUUCUGACGGUACCCAAAGAAUAAGCACCGGCUAACUUCGUG